GAUGAACGCUGGCGGCGUGCUUAACACAUGCAAGUCGAACGAAGCACUUUGCUUGAUCCCUUCGGGGUGAUUGCUUUGUGACUGAGUGGCGGACGGGUGAGUAACGCGUGGGUAACCUGCCUCAUACAGGGGGAUAACAGCUGGAAACGGCUGCUAAUACCGCAUAAGCGCACAGUACCGCAUGGUACGGUGUGAAAAACUCCGGUGGUAUGGGAUGGACCCGCGUCUGAUUAGCCAGUUGGCGGGGUAACGGCCCACCAAAGCGACGAUCAGUAGCCGACCUGAGAGGGUGACCGGCCACAUUGGGACUGAGACACGGCCCAAACUCCUACGGGAGGCAGCAGUGGGGAAUAUUGCACAAUGGGGGAAACCCUGAUGCAGCGACGCCGCGUGAGCGAAGAAGUAUUUCGGUAUGUAAAGCUCUAUCAGCAGGGAAGAAGAAAUGACGGUACCUGACUAAGAAGCCCCGGCUA
rnacentral:rRNA from 1 species